rnacentral:rRNA from 1 species
AUUGAACGCUGGCGGCAUGCUUUACACAUGCAAGUCGAACGGCAGCAUAGGUGCUUGCACCUGAUGGCGAGUGGCGAACGGGUGAGUAAUAUAUCGGAACAUGUCCGGAAGUGGGGGAUAACGUAGCGAAAGUUACGCUAAUACCGCAUAUGCCCUGAGGGGGAAAGGGGGGGAUCGCAAGACCUCUCGCUUUCGGAGUGGCCGAUAUCGGAUUAGCUAGUAGGUGAGGUAAAGGCUCACCUAGGCGACGAUCCGUAGCUGGUCUGAGAGGACGACCAGCCACACUGGGACUGAGACACGGCCCAGACUCCUACGGGAGGCAGCAGUGGGGAAUUUUGGACAAUGGGCGCAAGCCUGAUCCAGCCAUGCCGCGUGAGUGAAGAAGGCCUUCGGGUUGUAAAGCUCUUUCAGCCGGAAAGAAAUCGUACUUAUUAAUACUAAGUGCGGAUGACGGUACCGGAAGAAGAAGCACCGGCUAACUACGUGCCAGCCGCCGCCGUAA